rnacentral:tRNA from 2 species
GGCGAGGUAGCUCAACGGCAGAGCAAGGGCAUCAUAAUCCCUAGGUUGUGGGUUCAAAUCCCACCUUCGCCA